rnacentral:tRNA from 1 species
GCCUGGCUGGCUUAGUCCGUAGAGCAUGGGACUUUUGAUCACAGGGUGGUGAGUUCAAGCCCAUGUUGGGCA